rnacentral:sRNA from 1 species
GUACAGAUGGCAGAUCUCAUCAUUUGAAGAACAGGAUGCUCACGAAUUAUUCCAUGUCAUUACCUCGUCAUUGGAAGAUGAGCGAGACCGCCAGCCUCGGGUCACACAUUUGUUUGAUGUGCAUUCCCUGGAGCAGCAGUCAGAAAUAACUCCCAAACAAAUUACCUGCCGCACAAGAGGGUCACCUCACCCCACAUCCAAUCACUGGAAGUCUCAACAUCCUUUUCAUGGAAGACUCACUAGUAAUAUGGUCUGCAAACACUGUGAACACCAGAGUCCUGUUCGAUUUGAUACCUUUGAUAGCCUUUCACUAAGUAUUCCAGCCGCCACAUGGGUAUGUACUGAUUUAUGGUUUAUUUGGAGUCUGUUUCAGAAACAUUUCAAUCUGAAAGGGCUUUGAGGCAUUUUAUGUGGCUCAGGCACUAUGUGUAAUUCAGAUACAUGGUUGGUUGAACCCUCUCUUAACUUUAAUAUGGUGGCAUGAUUAUGGGAGAGAGGAAAAUGAAUCGUUUUUCUUUUGCUCCAGAAAUUUUGGCUUUUUGAAUACACACAC